GCCAAGGGAACAAAUAUUUGGGACUUCAGGGUGUGAAGAAGGCACUGGGACACCUCACAGACCAACCCAGGGCCUCCAAAGUGUAGAAAUGGACCCACAGCAGGAACCUACAGGCAUUGGGAAACCCUGGUGAGUCCUGUACCCCAGUUCCUAGCCUUGAGAUGUUGACUCAAGAAGAUGUCUACCUUCCAAAACGGACUCCUUGUGGUUAACGGGACCCAAAUUCAUAAUCACAGCCUAGCGGACAUUGUUUACAGAGGUCCCUUAGGCCCACUGCACACGCAGAAAGCCACACGCCAAGGAGGUAAGCCUCCUGAAGUGGGUUCUUGAAUUCUGAGCCGCGCCAAAUAACGUAAGACGUUCUGGAACUGUAUUUCAACCAAUGGGCUGACCUGGCCCAUCCACUCAGAACUUUCACAACAGUAGUUUCAUUUGCAUCUUUAGGGACCAAUCAGAGCAGCUCCAUAAUGACCAAUAGGAACACAUAAUUUUGACCAAUCAGGACAAUGCUAUUUAGACCACUCAGACUGCAAACUUGUAUUUCUCAUUUGCAUAGAAAUGGACCAAUCAGAGACUAGGGCGGGACUUUCUAUAAAAGGUGGUUUAAAAUAGCUCUUGUAAAAACCAGGAGCCAUUUUGGUUUUUACACGGUGCGGUUGUUUUCCUGGUUAGGAAACUGUUCCUUGUAUGGUUUCUCCUCUUUCUGCGCUCUUGUCUGCCUUAGUUGACUGAGGUCAUGAAACGUUGGAGAAAUUGCAUGCUGAAAAAGCUUCUGAGGGCAAAAUGUUCCUCUGUUUUCUUUGUAAGGAUCCAGCCCUGCAUCCCCUGCAGGACCAUCAGAACCCUCACUUAGGACUAGGAGCCAGGCCACGUGCCAGGCAGGAGCUCAGGUCGAUGAGAAAGACGGGCCCUACCUCAAGCUGCCAGAACCUAGGAAAGAUGCUGAACCGCUGCCGCCAGGCCAGGUGUGAGCAGCAAGAGAAGCUGGCACCUGGCACAUGUGGGUUGCCAGAUCUUCAUCCGGCUGCUUUUUAUCUCUGGAACUAUUAAAGCUUGAUUUCUUGGUUCUCUGUCUGAAAAGCACUCCAACCCCCCCCCAACGGAGACUGACCUCCUCAUUGGACUU